CAGCCGCCGCGGUAAUACGUAGGUGGCAAGCGUUGUCCGGAAUUAUUGGGCGUAAAGGGCUCGCAGGCGGUUUCUUAAGUCUGAUGUGAAAGCCCCCGGCUCAACCGGGGAGGGUCAUUGGAAACUGGGAAACUUGAGUGCAGAAGAGGAGAGUGGAAUUCCACGUGUAGUGGUGAAAUGCGUAGAGAUGUGGAGGAACACCAGUGGCGAAGGCGACUCUCUGGUCUGUAACUGACGCUGAGGAGCGAAAGCGUGGGGAGCGAACAGGAUUAGAUACCCGAGUAGUCCCUGUCUCUUAUAC
rnacentral:rRNA from 1 species